GCCAAGCAGUACGUACGAUACAGUGAUCAAGUGCAGACGGAUGCAUGACCAGCACCGUCAGUGCAUUGACGUGUGGACGAUCAUAAACUGAGGGUAAAAUACAAUAUUUCCUGACAAGCAAAAUCUCACCAGAUACACCGGUGGACUGCUCGAGAUCAAUACUCCACGUGUGUGAACGACGGCGAUUAGCUACACGUUGUAGUUCUAUGUGAUCGCAUGUCCCAGUUGGCUCUGGUGAAGGUCACUUAAAGCUCGGGGAGAACAAUCUAUUGUGUCUGUGGACUCGCUACUCAGGUACCGCACAACACGCACGAUCGUACGGACACUUUUGAUACCACAAGGCCUUCUACCACGGAAUAGAAGGCCUUUUUUCUGUUUUCCAUAAUCUCCAAUCUCCAGCAUCGUUGGACGGUCAAGACUGUAACACAUCAGCACGUCGCACGACGGCAACUUCAUUAGAAGCCACCACGCGGGACUCGCUCGAGAGACGGUCACCGGCCGCUUCAAUCCAACCAGUGCAGAAAGAGUGCAUGCAUUACGAGAAGCAGAGCGGGGAGCAAGGGAGGAAGCUCAUCGGCGAUCGCCGUCCGUCAGCCGGAUAGUGUGAAGGCACCGAGCCGAGCAGCAUCCACAAUAGAGAUGAGUGACGUUUCGCGCUCGCACACUAAUGUGCAAUUCGUCAUGUAAAACAUGUUUGUUUUCCUUCUGCUCA